GGCCCGUUAGCAUAACUGGUUAAUGCCCUCGCCUCAUAAGCGAGCCGAUGGCAGUUCGAAUCUGCCACGGGUCA
rnacentral:tRNA from 1 species